rfam:Schistosoma curassoni strain Dakar, Senegal genome assembly, scaffold: SCTD_scaffold0023324
AUCUAGCUGACGAGUCUCAAACAAAACGGAACACAUGUCCUAGAA